rnacentral:lncRNA from 1 species
AUCACCAGUGUUGCUGCCCUGAUGUAUUUCAGUAUCAAGGAAGCUCACCCUGCAGUGGGUACAGCUUUUGGUAUCUUUCAUUUCCUUCAUCUGAAGUGGUAGGCAGGUCUGUGCUAGGAACAGUGUUUGUAGGGUAAGACCUGACCUUAAGGGCUUCAUAGGCUACCUUUUCCUCCAAGUUCCUCAGCCCCAAGUGGGUGGAGCACACAGUCAUUGGCUGUGUGGUCUCCAUGGUCCCAAGAGAAUCUCCAGCUGCAUUAGAGACAUCACCCUCUUUCUGUCUCCAAGCAGAGAAUUCUGUUCUCACCUCAGCACAGCCUGUAUAUGACUUCAGCUGCCCCUGGACAGUGACCAUGGGUGGUAAGUGGCAGUCUCGGCUCACCAGAUACCCUUCCCUGGCAUCUCUGAGGACCUGGAGGCUGGAAUUCCUGCCUGCCAUGAAUCAUUCCUCUGCACAUUUCCACAG